rnacentral:lncRNA from 1 species
GCUGGAGAGAAUGAGCUUGGAGCCGCAGGGCUUAAUCCCGCGCGGCUCAGAGAUGGGUUUCUGGACUCGCGAAGCAGCUGCAACAAGGCAUCACUCACUGUAUAAGUAUUUCCAUUUCUGAGAGCAAAAGGAAGAACUUAAGCGGGCGGCACUUGGAGUGUAAAUUGCUUUGUAGUAUUUAAAGGCAGAAUGGAUCCUGGGCAGCCGAGCUGCAACAAACCGGCAGGACUUCCUGUGAAAUCAUGACCACCAUGUGCUCUUUCAGCCUCUAUCAGUUCCUACCUCUAAGCACCUGAGAGCCAAAGCAAACCACAGGAAACCACAGGUACUAACUCUUUUAGACCUGAUGAAGUGUCUCCCAAAUACAGUCUGGCAUGAAUGAAAGCCAAGCAUAUUCCAUCAUUUCCUAAAACCAAGAUAGAGCACAUAUGGGAACUUGUGAAAUAAGCUUCUUUGGACCUUUUAAGUUGCAUUAUCCCAUAAAAUGUGGUGGAUUCAAUGUUGUAUGGCCUGUAAAACUAAGUAAUGAAGGCUGAUAUGUACCCACCUGGCUCUGUCUUGGGAUCACACAACUUGGGAGCCAAAACAGGUGAGGAUGGGGAGGUGUCAAACAAGACCUAACCUCUCAACAAUCAGCUGGACACUGUUGUGUAAGAAUGUGAAGCUUGGCACUGCUGCAGCCAUCUUGUUCCAGGAAGGGUAAAACCUGAGGUUAGAAGCCAACAUCCUAAUGAUGGCAGAGAAGACAAAGAGAACCAGAGUCUAAAUGACAUUGUUGAGUUAGAUCACUACACUACCUCUAGUCUUCUUUUUAUGUGUGAUAAUAAAUCUCACUUAUACUUAAGCCAUUUGAAGUUGAGUCUAAUGUUCAUUUCAGACCAAAGCAGCUUAACUGACAUGUUCUCCGCUUUGUUACCCUAUCCAGUUGUUUUCAUGCAGGAAAUAAAUCUCAAAUUACCUCA